GCGGCAGACGGGUGAGUAACGCGUGGGAACGUACCUUUUGCUACGGAAUAACUCAGGGAAACUUGUGCUAAUACCGUAUGUGCUCUUCGGGGGAAAGAUUUAUCGGCAAAGGAUCGGCCCGCGUUGGAUUAGCUAGUUGGUGAGGUAAAGGCCCACCAAGGCUACGACCAGUAGCUGGUCUGAGAGGAUGAUCAGCCACACUGGGACUGAGACACGGCCCAGACUCCUACGGGAGGCAGCAGUGGGGAAUCUUGCGCAAUGGGCGAAAGCCUGACGCAGCAACGCCGCGUGCGGGAAGAAGGCCUUAUGGUUGUAAAGCACUUUAAGCGAGGAGGAGGCUCUUUUGGUUAAUACCCAAGAUGAGUGGACGUUACUCGCAGAAUAAGCACCGGCUAACUCUGUGCCAGCAGCCGCGGUAAUACAGAGGGUGCGAGCGUUAAUCGGAUCUACUGGGCGUAAAGCGUGCGUAGGCGGCUUUUUAAGUCGGAUGUGAAA
rnacentral:rRNA from 1 species